CCUACGUGUGGCAGCAGUGGGGAAUAUUGCGCAAUGGGCGAAAGCCUGACGCAGCGACGCCGCGUGAGGGAUGAAGGUCUUCGGAUCGUAAACCUCUGUCAGCAGGGAAGAACGGUCACUGUGCUAAUCAGCAGUGAAUUGACGGUACCUGCAACGGAAGCACCGGCUAACUCCGUGCCAGCAGCCGCGGUAAUACGGAGGGUGCGAGCGUUAAUCGGAAUUACUGGGCGUACAGCGCUCGUAGGCGGUAUGUCAAGUCAAGGGUGAAAUCCCCGCGCUCAACGUGGGAACUGCCUUUGAAACUGGCAAACUGGAGUGUGUGAGAGGAUAGUGGAAUGCCAGGUGUAGGAGUGAAAUCCGUAGAUAUCUGGAGGAACAUCAGUGGCGAAGGCGACUAUCUGGCACAUAACUGACGCUGAGGAGCGAAAGCGUGGGUAGCAAACAGGAUUAGAUACCCUUGUAGUC
rnacentral:rRNA from 1 species